UUAUGGUGGGCACUCUAAGGAGACUGCCGGUGACAAACCGGAGGAAGGUGGGGAGUGACGUCAAGUCAUCAUGGCCCUUACGGCCUGGGCUACACACGUGCUACAAUGGUCGGUACAAAGGGUUGCCAAGCCGCGAGGUGGAGCUAAUCCCAUAAACCGAUCGUAGUCCGGAUCGCAGUCUGCAACUCGACUGCGUGAAGUCGGAAUCGCUAGUAAUCGUGAAUCAGAAUGUCACGGUGAAUACGUUCCCGGGCCUU
rnacentral:rRNA from 1 species